rnacentral:rRNA from 1 species
UUCCGGUUGAUCCUGCCGGACCCGACUGCUAUCAGAGUGGGACUGAGCCAUGCGAGUCAACAUAGCAAUAUGUGGCAUACGGCUCAGUAACACGUAGUCAACAUGCCCAGGGGACGUGGAUAACCUCGGGAAACUGAGGAUAAACCGCGAUAGGUCAUCACUUCUGGAAUGGGUAAUGACUUAAAUCUAUAUGGCCCCUGGAUUGGACUGCGGCCGAUCAGGCUGUUGGUGAGGUAAUGGCCCACCAAACCUGUAACCGGUACGGGCUCUGAGAGGAGGAGCCCGGAGAUGGGCACUGAGACAAGGGCCCAGGCCCUAUGGGGCGCAGCAGGCGCGAAACCUCUGCAAUAGGCGAAAGCUUGACAGGGUUACUCUGAGUGAUUUCCGUUAAGGAGAUCUUUUGGCACCUCUAAAAAUGGUGCAGAAUAAGGGGUGGGCAAGUCUGGUGUCAGCCGCCGCGGUAAUACCAGCACCCCGAGUGGUCGGGACGUUUAUUGGGCCUAAAGCAUCCGUAGCCGGUUCUACAAGUCUUCCGUUAAAUCCACCUGCUUAACAGAUGGGCUGCGGAAGAUACUAUAGAGCUAGGAGGCGGGAGAGGCAAGCGGUACUCGAUGGGUAGGGGUAAAAUCCGUUGAUCCAUUGAAGACCACCAGUGGCGAAGGCGGCUUGCCAGAACGCGCUCGACGGUGAGGGAUGAAAGCUGGGGGAGCAAACCGGAUUAGAUACCCGGGUAGUCCCAGCUGUAAACGAUGCAGACUCGGUGAUGAGUUGGCUUAUUGCUAACUCAGUGCCGCAGGGAAGCCGUUAAGUUUGCCGCCUGGGGAGUACGGUCGCAAGACUGAAACUUAAAGGAAUUGGCGGGGGAGCA